GGCAAGUCCUUAAUCACGAGGGAGAGUGAAGAGGGUCCCUUGCAGCCACGAGCUCUCACUCUUCUUCCGUUGUCUCAUGCUUUGUAACUCAAGCGUGCGUUGCUCAAGUUGUAGCUGAAUCUGUUUCCACAGUUUGUUGCUUCUGAAUGAAUGCCAAGUCUUGCUCAAAACUUCUUUUUUUGUGUUUUUAGUGUUUUUUUAUGGAUCUAUCGUCUGUCAAAAUAUCAUUUUGUUUUAGGGGGUCGGAAACCAAGAAGGCAAUGUUAGUGAGGAUUGUUGUCAGUAGCUCUCGUCUUGUGGCUUGUUUUUCAUGAGGACAAUGUAGACUAUGGCUGCCUCUCGUGGCAUUGGCAUUGGGACAAUGAAUGAAUCACACAGCACUGCGGUCUGGUUGUGUGGUUUGGCUCUCACAACACUCCUUUUGCAUUCAACUCAAUUAGAAUGGAAGAGUGUCUUUAAAUAGUUUCUUCGUGGGCGAGACCGUGAUGUUGGAUUUAGGGAAGGUCGCUGGGAGGGUGGCGUUCUCGAAAUUGUCAUCUCACUGACCAUCGUGCCCGAAUUUGACGAUGAUUUGAUUGCUCCCUGCCUCGGAAUGUGGGUUUUGUGACGACUCGAAUGCCAUUCUGUGUCGUGUCUGGGUGCAGAUCGUCAAGAAACUCGUCUCGCAGAUCCUACGACCUCUCGAUACAAUGACUGGAAUCCGGAGAGCUCAGUUCUGAGUGUGUUUGAAUCUUGCAUGGACAAAUGCAUCUUCCGUCACGAGACUAAUGCGGAAAGAAGCACAGUCCGACUCGCGAAGAACUGUAAUAUCUGAACUGAUUUUGCUACCAACAUUUUACUCCGCCAAACUCUCUCACGAAAACGCCAAGCAGCGAGCGAAAUAGCCGGGGACCCACUUGGGGGACCACAUCGCUUGUACAGCUUACACAAACCCAAUGGUGAGUGGUGAAUCCCCCAAUGGUUGGCAUUUUCAUUCCAUAACUAGCGGUUGGUGCCUGCACGCUUGUUGCCAAUUUAGCCAACAAGCACAACAGUCAGGGGGAGUGGCCAGAGGAUCCCAAAUCACCGGAAAAUCUGUUAAGAAUCUGUUUAAAAAGAUCUCUCAGAGGCUCCAAACAUAUCUGCACGGGCUUUGGAAAGCCUCACUUGUUUGUGCUGAUCCCUAUACUACAGAACACGAGAGUAAAUUUCCUCCAAGAAUAAAGCUUAGACUGUUGGAGGUCCAGUAGGUUCGGACAAAUCUAGGGAGUUCCGCUGUGCUUGGACUCUUCUCCCUGUUUGUCUGUGCAGCCGUUUUGACAGCAGCUGUCACUGACAAGCUCCUAUUCCACGCCUGGUGACACCUCUCAUGCGAUCACGUUGUUCGAUGAGCAAACAUCGUUAACGGAAAGUAUACUUUGAUUUUAUCUU